CAGACGAUCGCUGGCAGAGUCAUCUGCGAGAGGAAAGUCCGGACUCCACAGGGCAACGUAGCAGUUAACGGCUGCCCACCGUAAGGUGAGGAUUAGAGCAACAGAGACGAGCCAGCGUCAUGGCUGGGUGAAACGGGCAAUCUCUACGUGGAGCAACACCAAAUAGGCAACCAAUGGUUCGGCCCGGACCGGUUGUGGGUAGGUGGCUUGAGGCGCCGCGUGAGCGUCGUCCUAGAUGAAUGAUCGUCGGCAGUCUUAUCUCGUUCUGCAGACAGAAUCCGGCUUACGAAGCA
rnacentral:RNase_P_RNA from 1 species